CUCCAGGAAGCAGCUCCCCUGUCCUCCCGCGCAAUGCUGUGUGGAGCGUUGCCAUGGUAACGUGCGUGCAACGCUCCACACAGCAUCGCGCGGCAGGACAGUGGAGCUGCUUCCUGGAG